rnacentral:lncRNA from 1 species
GGAGGCUCUUGUUUCUUGUUCUGCAUUAAUUCUUGCUUUCAUGUUGACUUCUAGCUCCAGCCUGGACCACAAGAACUCCAACACCUGGUGUCUCUACUGCUCCUCUAGCACCAGCACAUACACAGAGCCUCAAAACAGCCAUAACCACAAGAGCUGCAACAACACCGAGUAUCUCUACUACUCCUCCAACACCAGCACAUACACAGAGCUCCAUAACAGAAAUCACUCCACCUGUUCCAACUCAAGCAGAAGAGACACAGCCUACAAUACUUCAGGAAACAAAGCCUCAGCCCCCCACCUCCUCCCCAGACUCUGGCCCAACAGCUGAUGGGAAUGGCACAGCAACACAGCCCACAGAUGGCCAUUGGAAUAGCAAUCAAACUGUAAGCAUAUUCCUCCCUAUUUCACUAGCCA